rnacentral:rRNA from 1 species
UACGUAGGGGGCAAGCGUUGAUCGGAUUUACUGGGCGUAAAGGGCGCGUAGGCGGCAAUUCAAGUCAGCUGUGAAAUCUCCGGGCUUAACUCGGAACGGUCAGCUGAUACUGCUUUGCUAGAGUGCAGAAAGGGCAAUCGGAAUUCUUGGUGUAGCGGUGAAAUGCGUAGAUAUCAAGAGGAACACCUGAGGCGAAGGCGGGUUGCUAGGCUGACACUGACGCUGAGGCGCGAAAGCCAGGGGAGCAAACGGG